UACGAAGGGGGCUAGCGUUGUUCGGAUUUACUGGGCGUAAAGCGCGUGUAGGCGGGUCGUUAAGUUGGGGGUGAAAUCCCGAGGCUCAACCUCGGAACUGCCUUCAAAACUGGCGACCUGGAGCAAGAUAGAGGCAAGUGGAAUUGCGAGUGUAGAGGUGAAAUUCGUAGAUAUUCGCAGGAACACCAGUGGCGAAGGCGACUUGCUGGAUCUUUGCUGACGCUGAGACGAGAAAGCGUGGGGAGCAAACAGG
rnacentral:rRNA from 1 species